rnacentral:rRNA from 1 species
CACCUCUAGCAUUACCAGUAUUAGAGGCACUGCCUGCCCAGUGACAUUAGUUUAACGGCCGCGGUAUCCUGACCGUGCAAAGGUAGCAUAAUCAUUUGUUCCUUAAUUAGGGACUUGUAUGAAUGGCCCCACGAGGGUUUAACUGUCUCUUACUUUUAAUCAGUGAAAUUGACCUUCCCGUGAAGAGGCGGGAAUACAAAAAUAAGACGAGAAGACCCUAUGGAGCUUAAAUUAAAGUGUCCAACAAAAUUUAAACUUAAUCCAACAGGAAUAAUAACAUUUUAACUGGACAACAAAUUUUGGUUGGGGUGACCUCGGAGUAUAACAAAACCUCCGAGCAAUUAUAACCAAGACUUACCCGUCAAGGUGACAUAAUUUAUUGAUCCAAUCAUAUUGAUCAACGAAACAAGUUACCCUAGGGAUAACAGCGCAAUCCUAUUUAAGAGUCCAUAUCGACAAUAGGGUUUACGACCUCGAUGUUGGAUCAGGACCCCCAAAUGGUGCAGCAGCUAUUAAAGGUUCGUUUGUUCAACG